UCACAUAGCAAGCUCAAAAGGAGAAUCACCCAGGGAUCUUGGAAGUCAUCACAAUCUGGACCAAGGUGAACAUUUCGGACUA